UAUUACGUUGGUACAAAAGUAAUUGCAGGUUUUACCAUUGAAAGUAAUGGCAAAAACUGCAAUCACUUUUGCACCAACCUAA
ensembl:miRNA